CACACACACACACACACACACACAUUCAUUCAUUCAUUUGGAGUGUAAGAUACACAAGACUACAGUACUUACCACUUUGAAGUCGACAUACACUGCCAUCAUCUACACUGCUUAGAAUACAUCUUUUUUGGCCUAAAGCUUUUGGAAUGUUACUUCAAGCCUAAUUGUUAGCUUAGGACAGGUCAAGUCACUCAUACAUUGAUGGUCAUUGCAGAAAUUAGCAAAUAAAAUAAAUUUUAAGGUAUUGUUAAAUUUUUACAGUAAAGCACUGUGAAUAAUUAAGUGAGGCUCCAUUUAUAAAUAUUGUAGCAUUGUUUCCCAAACUGGGGGUAUGUCACAAAGGGAGGAAAAAAAUCCUGUGGGCAUGAUGAAGUCAUUUGCCCAAAAUUCAUGUUCAAAAGUUUAUCGUGAAAUUACUCCAAGAAGCAAUUCUUGAUUGACAAUGUCCAAUGCCUGUAUUAUUUGUUUAAUCUCAUGUCUUGUUUUUUUGUAGACGGUGCUGGGAUGUAAACCUUAAAAAUAUAUAUAUAAUUUCAUCUAACAUAGUAAAUAUGCUAUGGGAGGGAUAUUAAAAAUAGAUAAAGGGUCAUCAUGUAAGAUGAGCUGCAUUGCUUUAAAAGAUUGUAAUCAACUUUGUCAAUAUGACUGACAUCACAUUUAAGCUGGAAGCUAGUUUUGCUUGCACAGUAUUCAUAAUUUGUUUUUGUCAUUGUUUUCAGUUUAUUGCCUAAUGUUUAGUGAUAUUUUGUAGUAUAACCUGAAGUAAUUUUUUACAAUCUAAAGUAAUCUAACCAGAUUCUUUGUGGCUGGAAUUAUAAGGAAUCUGUGUGAGAAAAUGAAGGCUUGUAUAAAUUUUUAGAAAUCAUGCAGGAUUGUAUCUUGUUCAUGCGUCACGUCAUGUCACGUCAGGCAUAGGCCAUUCACAACAGACAUGCAAGAGCAAGCAAACAUAAAGAAGAUGAACUGCACUGUUUAUGACAAGUCAGCAAAGAUCAAUAUAUGUAAAAUGGUAAAUCAGGCACACGGUACAAUGAUCAGAGCAGCAUUAAGGUUGAGGGGACACCAAGGAGCAAACAAAAACUCUGCUUCAGGAGAAGGCUGUAUAUUGGGAUCUUGGUACAUGUGGCUGUAACAUGCUUCACCACAAUAGAAGGGAGGCACUGCAGGCAAGGUGGAUGGGAAUGCCCAAAUCUACUUUCCACAUUUGGCUGACAUUAAUGACCUUCAAGUGUACUUCACUUGAUGAGAAUACAUCUUGCUAAUGUGCCUUUAUCACAAGAUAUGAUGGUUAUUAUAUACAGCUGCCAGCCAAAACAAGGAAUAUUUAUACAUUUUACUAUUUUGUUUCCAGUGGUGUUGUAACCUUGAAAAGAACCUAUGCCUAGUGGAGCAACACCAUAGGCUCCUUUCCCCUCCUCCCUUACCAGCACCACCAUCACCACCACCACCACCGCCCACACCACCCUGCCUGGAGUGAUCACCGAACACAAAAAGAACAUGUGGCAGCACCAGAAAUGAGCAACAGUAACAGGGGAAGAAGGCUAAAGCAGAGGUGAGGUUUCUGACCCUUUCAUAGGCAGGAUUUGGAAAGUUCAAGAGGAGCAAAGUGUGCAUCGUGAAGCAAGUCAGAAAAUGAAACUGUGCAAAGUUUUGACAAAACAAAAGUAAACAUGCAAACACACUAAAGCAAAAUUAAGUGCAACUAAGUUUAUCUAAUGCUAUUCUCUCUCUCUCUCUCUCUCUCUCUCUCUCUCUCUCUCUCUCUCUCUCUCUCUCUCUCUCUCUCUCCCUGGCUCAUGUGUGUGUGUGUGUGUCUAUGUGUGUACAUACACACACACACACACACACACACACACACACACACACACACACACACACAGCUCACUGAUUUCAGCAAAACCUUAUCAUUGUCAUGGGUAAAAACGAAAAUAUAAUUAAUUUCAAAGCCAAAGAGCACUAUCAUUACUAUAAAACAUCUUUUUACAGAAAUGUCAGGACAACAGUAGUUAUACCUAGUAUGUAUUAUCAUAAAUUUUUACUCCUCAUAACUUAAAAAGAAAAUAUCUUGUACUGUUAUACCAAAACUGAUGUAUAUCACAGACCUGAGAACAUUAAGAAGGAAAGAAUAACGGCAAACAGGCUAUUGUAAUCAUUGUACUCUCUCCAGUUUUCUUAUAAAGAUCAUGCCAUUAAAAGUUACAGCAGAGAAAUGCUUAAAGCAAGUCACUCUCUUAAUUACAGCUUCUGGCUCAGACAAAUUUCACUAAGCAUUCUUGUUUGCUGGGCGUCUAAAGCUUCAUGUAUCAAAGGUUUCUCCUUACUGUAGAAGUGCACAGUUAUUCAGAAUUCCAGAGACUAAAUGUGACUAAGAAGAAACAAAAUGACGUGGUAAUGUUUCCUUGAGGUUCUGCACCAAAAUUACUCAUCUUUAGUUUAUGUAUAUGAUUUCACUGCAGGAUAAGAGCCUUACUUAAUAUAGUCUAUGUAUAUGAUUUCACUGCAGGAUAAGAUUCUUACUUAAUAGUUAGGGGAAGCAUCAAGUGUGAUACCAUGCCAUGCUGGCAUAAGGAGGAGGAGUCUUGACUAGAGGCCUACAGUAUGAAAUGAGACAAAGCUAAAAUAAUGUCAGGCUGGUCUGGUAUUUAAACUCAGGUAAUCUUGGCUGUAAGCUGAGCAUCCUAACUCCUCCAUAACCAGCUUAAGUUUACGGAUUCUAAAAUAAAUUGAAGUGCUGCCACGCCUAGAAAAUGACAAUUGAAUGUAGUAAUAAUUGGGUGUAAACCAAAUCCCCCUGAAAAAUAAAAGGCAAUACAACACCAGCUAUUCAGGCCAGUACUGAUCUUUUACUACCUUCAGGAGUCUAUUAUCUGACUUUCCUUUUCACAUAGCUGUAAUACAUAUAUAAAAUCUGGACUUUACUUGCAUGUCCUGCCUCUUUCUUGUACAUCUUGUAGAUAAUUAAAGCAUAAAAUUAGUUGAGUUGUAACAAUGUAAUUUAGUAAGUUGGCUGACAAGUUAGUACGUAAUAUGAGUUGGGUCGUCGUCGUCGGCUCCCACUUGUGUCCGAGUACUGGGUCAUAUAGGUUAAAUCAGCUCUCUAUUCAACCACUGAAAAAGCUUGUAUUCUACAGGGAGAUUUAUGGGCUGGCUGUAUUUGGAUCAAACUAUCAAAUUUUAUUAGAUGGGCUUUGUCUCCAGUUAGUCCAAUGGAUUGAGAUUUUACUGUAAUUUCAUUUAUAACCUUCAGUACAUGAAAUAAUUUAUCCUGCAUUAACCAAGCCUACCGCAGGAUGUGAAUCACAUGUCUGAUGGGAAAAGAAAAAUCUGGGAGGUAUUACCACUCAUGGAUAUGAAUGACAAGUGAAUCAUGAUUUGUAACCAAGUGAUGGAAAAAGUACUCAUUAAUUGGAAUCCAAUGUAUACUAAGAAUUAUUGCCCUCUAUGUACUGCAUGUGAGGAAAAAGGUGAUCUUUUAAAUUUUUUUGUAAAAGCAAAUUUUCAUUUAUAAAUGUUGAUUAAGAAGGAAAUUGUAAUUCAUAAUUAUUAAAAACUGGUAUUUAAUCAUGUUUCACCUGUCUUUAUAUGCACACAACCAAAGCAAGCAAUAGCUCAUCCAACACUGCCAGACACAUCAGUACACAAACUGCUAUACUACACAGUAGAUAUGUAACUUGCUGGAAAUGGUGCACUGUGACUGGUAUGAAAGUUUGAGCAAUGCCAUAUGCAAGUGUAUAUCUGCUAUUUAUACAAUCAUUUUAUAAUGUAUAAUGUGUCAAUUUAAUGCCUUCAAUAUUGUCUUAACUUCACUGGAAUACAAAUACAGUGAAUUAAAAAAUACUUGCAAUGUGUUUCACAGGUUUACCCUGUAAAAGAAGAAAACCUCCUCAAUUGUCUUUAGCAAGCUAAAUAUUUUUAAUUAUUUAUACUGGCAGUUCCCCCAAAUGAUGAAGCUUUACUUGGUGUGAUAGGUGUAGGAUCUUAUUUCCAAAAUUAAGUAUUACAUUGUGUGUUAACAAGCUGGUGGGGCUUAAGCUACAAGAGAGUGAACCACACAUAGUGAAAUUGUAUUUAUAAAGCAAAUUGUGUGGCAGAUUAGCAAUUACUCAUCUUUGACAGGCUUGCAGAUAAGUUACUUACAUGCCUUUGUAAACAAUAUAAACCAUGGUAGUGUUUAUCAUUCAAUUGAUGCUUUACUGACAGAAUACUUAAAAAAUUAGAUGAGUGUGUGUAAAAAAUUAGGUGAGUUUGUGUUCAGUCAGUUAACAACACUUCAUUGUAAUACACUGAAAUCCACUACAGUUUGGUUAUUGCUAUGACAAAUUUUAGAGUGACAGUAAAAGUGACCCAGGACUAUGAAUUGCAGCCUUUCACCACAUUAACACAAUACAUGUAAAUUGCAGAUGGCAGUAUACCAAUCACACUCCAUUAAGCACUAGUUAUCUACACCUGCACUCAAGCAAUACUCAGCUUGUGAGUAAACCAUUAUGAGGAGAAUUACAACUAGUCUGCAAAAGAUGAACUAAUCUGAAGGUUGUG